ACCUGUGGCUGGGGGUGAAAGGCCAAUCAAACCGGGAGAUAGCUGGUUCUCCCCGAAAGCUAUUUAGGUAGCGCCUCGUGAAUUCAUCUCCGGGGGUAGAGCACUGUUUCGGCUAGGGGGCCAUCCCGGCUUACCAACCCGAUGCAAACUGCGAAUACCGGAGAAUGUUAUCACGGGAGACACACGGCGGGUGCUAACGUCCGUCGUGAAGAGGGAAACAACCCAGACCGCCAGCUAAGGUCCCAAAGUCAUGGUUAAGUGGGAAACGAUGUGGGAAGGCCCAGACAGCCAGGAUGUUGGCUUAGAAGCAGCCAUCAUUUAAAGAAAGCGUAAUAGCUCACUGGUCGAGUCGGCCUGCGCGGAAGAUGUAACGGGGCUAAACCAU
rnacentral:rRNA from 1 species